CCACUCUUGUUUCUCUUCAAAUCUUAUAAAUCUUUUGCCUUUUACUAAAGAUUUCCGUGGAAAGAAACAGCAAGAGUUUAAGUUAAUUUUCUGAUGCUCUACUAUAUUGUGGGGU
ensembl:snRNA U5 U5 spliceosomal RNA